CAAAGAACAAAGGCCUCCCACCUCACACAGUUGUAGGGGCUCAGAGAGUCAAAAAUUCAAUGACCCUCAGCAGAGUGCUGGGGUUAUGAGGACAGACCCAGAAGGCAGGCCACCUGCCUUUCAGUGUUGAGAUGGAGUUAGGCUGGCCUAAACUCCUAGGUUCCCAUGAUCCUCUGUCUCAACCUCCCAAGUAGCUGGGAACACAAGUGUGUCCCCAGCUUCCACUCCACCAGCCUUUUAAAAUGCCAAUUUUGCCACCUUCUGCUUCUGUCACCCUGGGCCGGUUAACUUUUCUGGACCUCAAUUUUUCACCUGUACAAUGGAAUGACAAUACUAUACUGAUGUCCAAAGCUGGUUGUGAGGAUUAGAUGACUUAAGUGCUUAGCCCAUAACGGGCAUCUCCCUAUGUGUCAGCUUCUAUUCCCAAUUUGCUUGUGUGAUUAUCCCCUCCCCCCUAAGUCUCUCAAAAGAUAGGAAGCUGUCUGCCAGUCCUCCCGGCCCGUUAGUCAUCUUCUUUCACUCUGACUUAGGAGUCCUUAUGCAGCUAUCUAGGUCAUCCCCCCAAGACACAUGACACACACUGGUCAGCAGAGCGGCCUCAGACACAGAAAAAAGUUUAAUUCUGCUGCGGCGGAGGGUCCCGGCUCCGGUCCCUCCCCUCAAAAGAGGAGGAGUAUAGAGAAGUGGCUAAAAGCCAACCAAACCUGGGAGCCAGACUGCCUGGUUUUGAUAUCUCCUCUGCCCCUUACCAGCUCUGUCACCUCAGGCCUCUGAGUGGCUCACCAGGGACUGGAACCACACCUUCCUCCACCUGGGACCAUGCGAAACAGCUGCAACACUGCUGAAAGGCCCUGCCCAUCUCCAGGAGCUGCAUACCUCUCCAAGGCCCUCUUCCCCUCCAGCAGGGCCACCUUCUGGUCCUGAAGCCCCACCCCCAGUCAUCCUGCCUCCCAGGGCCCACCACCAUGAGCCACCCUCCCACCCAAAGACUUCAAGUAUGGCCACACCCCCAAAAGGGCCAUCUCUCCCACUUUUGCAGACCAGUGCCAGCCCAGCCAACACCCUUGGCCUCUGGCUUUAAGUCUCCCUUGUCCCUCCUCAUCUCCUGUCUUUGAGCCUUGGAUUCCUCUUGCUUCUUCCCCUAAAUAACCAGUUGCUAGGGGCUCCCCCCUUUUCAAGGACAGAGGCGGGCUCCUUAAGGAAGCUUGGGCCCAUGUGUCUCUAAUUGGCUGCAAGACCAGAGCAAGCAGCUGAGCAGGCUUCUGGUUGGAUGUCACCUCCACCCAUGGCGGCAGUGAGGAAGUUAACCCCUGCAGUGCCACAGUGCAGGCAUCUGCAAUGGAGUUCCUGAAUGAAGAACAGGAACUGAGGCCCUAAGGAGAAGAGAAAAGUCCCCAGCUGAGGACAGGGGACCAUCAACAUCAGUAUAUAUUCAAGGUUUGGGGCCUUGAACCUUCCCCCAUCCUGCCAGAUGGUAGCCAUGGGUCAAAAAGAAGCAAAGAAACAGGUGGAGACUCACAAAAACUGAGUCAUUUACAGAAAUGUAUUAUCCACCUCCCCUCCACCCUGCCUGGCAAACAGUAGGUGUUCAGUAAGUGUGUGUCUGCAUAAAAAGGACAGCUCUGCUAUUCCUGUGUGACCAAGGGGAAGUGCCUUUCUCCAUUGAGCCUCAGUUUCUCUGUUAUAAAAUGAGGAGAGGGCAGGGGGGGCAUGGCAGAGCACUUGCAUCACAAUCAGGCCACCUGGCAUCACAAUCCCCAGCACCACAAAAAAAUCAGCAAAUCAAAUCAAAUCAGCUUUGCAACAGAGCUGGGAGUCAGCUGCCAGCUCUGGAGGUGUCUUAUGAAGCUCUUUGUCUCAUUCAUUGUCUACUCUUGGGACACUGGGCCAGUCUAUCUCAGUGGGCCCUGGGACCAGCACAGGAUCUGACACACAGUAGGCAUUUACUCAGUGUUUGGUGACCAGAAUUGAGACAAAAAUGAGGAAACCAGACAAGGGGAAAGAGAGGCAUGUAUGCAUGCAGCCAACAGUGGGAAUAGGCCUGCUCCAUGCCAAGACCGUGGCCCAGAGAGCCAGGCGAGGAUGGGGAGCAAAAGACAGGCCUUUCCGGGAAGUUUCCGCAUUCCCAACAGCCGGGGCUACCCACAGUAGGGAAUGGCUUUGGCCACUGUGGCAUCCACAAGUACAGUUAAGCGCGAGGCAGGCACUCAGCAGCCCCUCUGCAGUGUGCACGAGGGAGAAGCAUCUGUGAAGCCAUCGGCUGUUCAUGAGUGCCCACUGUGUGCCCAUCUGUAGCCAAGAGUCAUACUGAAAACUACCCCGAUGGAGAGACACUGCGGGGCCAUGACAGUGAUUUGUGGUGCAUGUAGGGCCCUGAGGGCAAGGACUGGAUCUCUUGGUCUCCUUGGGUCCCCAGCACCCAGGUCAGGGCCUAGCACAGAGCAAAGUCUAAGUGCCUUCAUGAGGAGAGAGAGAAGGUAGAGCAGAUGGAGAGAUUCAAGCAGGGAAGUAGGAGACAAUGGGAGGAAGUAACUCCUUUGUCUGUCCAUGCCGUCACACCAGGACAGUGACUUCCAACCCACGGGAGGGUGGAAAUAACUUAUAUUUUUGUCAUGCACUUUGUUUUCUAGGCUGGGGUUGUAGCUCAGUGGUAGAGCGUUGCCUAGAAUGUGUAAGGCACUGGGUUCAAUUCUCAGCACCACAUAUAAAUAAAAUAAAAGUCCAU